rnacentral:rRNA from 1 species
UACAGAGGUCUCAAGCGUGGUUCGGAUUCAUUGGGCGUAAAGGGCGCGUAGGCGGCACGGCAAGUCAGGAGUGAAAGGCCUGGGCUCAACCGAGGAACUGCUUUUGAGACUGCCGAGCUAGAGUGCAGAAGGGGCAACUGGAAUUCCCAGUGUAGCGGUGAAAUGCGUAGAUAUUGGGAAGAACACCUGAGGCGAAGGCGGGUUGCUGGGCUGACACUGACGCUGAGGCGCGAAAGCCAGGGGAGCAAACGGG